CGGACUGGAGUCUGNAACCCGACUCCACGAAGUUGGAUUCGCUAGUAAUCGCGCAUCAGCCAUGGCGCGGUGAAUACGUUCCCGGGCCUUGUACACACCGCCCGUCAAGCCAUGGGAGCCGGGGGCGCCUGAAGUCCGGGACCGCGAGGACCGGCCUAGGGCGAAACUGGUAACUGGGGCUAAGUCGUAACAAGGUAGC
rnacentral:rRNA from 1 species